GGCGGCGUGCCUAAUACAUGCAAGUCGAGCGAAUGGAUUAAGAGCUUGCUCUUAUGAAGUUAGCGGCGGACGGGUGAGUAACACGUGGGUAACCUGCCCAUAAGACUGGGAUAACUCCGGGAAACCGGGGCUAAUACCGGAUAACAUUUUGAACCGCAUGGUUCGAAAUUGAAAGGCGGCUUCGGCUGUCACUUAUGGAUGGACCCGCGUCGCAUUAGCUAGUUGGUGAGGUAACGGCUCACCAAGGCAACGAUGCGUAGCCGACCUGAGAGGGUGAUCGGCCACACUGGGACUGAGACACGGCCCAGACUCCUACGGGAGGCAGCAGUAGGGAAUCUUCCGCAAUGGACGAAAGUCUGACGGAGCAACGCCGCGUGAGUGAUGAAGGCUUUCGGGUCGUAAAACUCUGUUGUUAGGGAAGAACAAGUGCUAGUUGAAUAAGCUGGCACCUUGACGGUACCUAACCAGAAAGCCACGGCUAACUACGUGCCAGCAGCC
rnacentral:rRNA from 1 species